rnacentral:rRNA from 1 species
GAUGAACGCUGGCGGCGUGCCUAAUACAUGCAAGUCGAGCGAAUGGAUUAAGAGCUUGCUCUUAUGAAGUUAGCGGCGGACGGGUGAGUAACACGUGGGUAACCUGCCCAUAAGACUGGGAUAACUCCGGGAAACCGGGGCUAAUACCGGAUAACAUUUUGAACCGCAUGGUUCGAAAUUGAAAGGCGGCUUCGGCUGUCACUUAUGGAUGGACCCGCGUCGCAUUAGCUAGUUGGUGAGGUAACGGCUCACCAAGGCAACGAUGCGUAGCCGACCUGAGAGGGUGAGCGGCCAAACUGGGACUGAGACACGGCCCAGACUCCGACGGGAGGCAGCAGUAGGGAAUCUUCCGCAAUGGACGAAAGUCUGACGGAGCAACGCCGCGUGAGUGAUGAAGGCUUUCGGGUGGUAAGACUCUGUUGUUAGGGAAGAACAUGUGCUAGUUGAAUAAGCUGGCACCUUGACGGUACCUAACCAGAAAGCCACGGCUAACUACGUGCCAGCCGCCGCAGUAA